rnacentral:rRNA from 1 species
GAUGAACGCUGGCGGCGUGCCUAAUACAUGCAAGUCGAGCGAACAGAUAAGGAGCUUGCUCCUUUGACGUUAGCGGCGGACGGGUGAGUAACACGUGGGUAACCUACCUAUAAGACUGGGAUAACUUCGGGAAACCGGAGCUAAUACCGGAUAACAUUUGGAACCGCAUGGUUCUAAAGUGAAAGAUGGUUUUGCUAUCACUUAUAGAUGGACCCGCGCCGUAUUAGCUAGUUGGUAAGGUAACGGCUUACCAAGGCAACGAUACGUAGCCGACCUGAGAGGGUGAUCGGCCACACUGGAACUGAGACGCGGUCCAGACCCCUACGGGAGGCAGCAGUAGGGAAUCUUCCGCAAUGGGCGAAAGCCUGACGGAGCAACGCCGCGUGAGUGAUGAAGGGUUUCGGCUCGUAAAACUCUGUUAUUAGGGAAGAACAAACGUGUAAGUAACUGUGCACGUCUUGACGGUACCUAAUCAGAAAGCCACGGCUAACUACGUG